rnacentral:rRNA from 1 species
GGUAUAAGUCUUCGGAUUUAGAGACCGGCGCACGGGUGCGUAACGCGUAUGCAAUCUGCCUUUCACAGAGGGAUAGCCCAGAGAAAUUUGGAUUAAUACCUCAUAGUAUUACGACCCGGCAUCGGGAUGUAAUUAAAGUCACAACGGUGAAAGAUGAGCAUGCGUCCCAUUAGCUGGUUGGUAAGGUAACGGCUUACCAAGGCAACGAUGGGUAGGGGUCCUGAGAGGGAGAUCCCCCACACUGGUACUGAGACACGGACCAGACUCCUACGGGAGGCAGCAGUGAGGAAUAUUGGACAAUGGGCGCAAGCCUGAUCCAGCCAUGCCGCGUGCAGGAUGACGGUCCUAUGGAUUGUAAACUGCUUUUGUACGAGAAGAAACACUGAUUCGUGAAUCAGCCUGACGGUAUCGUAAGAAUAAGGAUCGGCUAACUCCGUGCCAGCAGCCGCGGUAAUACGGAGGAUCCAAGCGUUAUCCGGAAUCAUUGGGUUUAAAGGGUCCGUAGGCGGUCUUGUAAGUCAGUGGUGAAAGCCCAUCGCUCAACGGUGGAACGGCCAUUGAUACUGCUGGACUUGAAUUAUUAGGAAGUAACUAGAAUAUGUAGUGUAGCGGUGAAAUGCUUAGAGAUUACAUGGAAUACCAAUUGCGAAGGCAGGUUACUACUAAUGGAUUGACGCUGAUGG